UUGCCAGGGAUACUUUUCAGAAUUCAUUCGGUUCUAUGAUUUUGUUUUCUCCAUGUGUCGCGAGACUGGUCAAAAGAAUAUUUCUGUAAGCAGGGCAGUAACUGCUUGGAAAUUAGUUCUUGCUGGGAAUGAACAAGAGAAUGAACAAGGGAAUGAACACUGAUACAAUUGUUAAGGCCAAGAGUUUUCUUGAUGGUGAUGAAGAUCAGCAUGAAAAAGAUGUGUUUGAGAAGAAUU